AAGAAGAAAGAACUAAGAAUGUAUCCUUUAAAAUUGACAUAAAACUUCUGUCUUAGAAAUUACAGAGGAGUAUUCAGUGACGUUAAAUGGUGCAGUGGGAAGAUGAUGGCCACUGCUGGAUGAGGACGAGCUCG